CGUGCCAAUAUCAAUCCAAAGACAAUACUCAAAAUGAUUGUUAUCCAUUAUGUUUGUGGUGAAUUAAAUCGCUGCUUUUUUUCCAGUUUCACACACUGCCCCAGAAAAGUGUCGCAGAGCAUGGCACUGCCUUGGAACCAUCUGCCAGCCAGCCCCAACAAGCCGACUGUGCAACAAGCCGUGCAACAACUGUGCAACAAGCCGACUCUGGAGAAGGCAGUUCAACUUCCAUAGCUCUUACCUCAGAGCAAACCACGUGGAAAACUGUGCGCAAGACAGCCACGAGAACAGUGGCAACUCAGACGACACUGGAAUGCCAUUCCGUUGGUAAGUUGACCAAACGAUUGAAAACAAAGCACAUCUGAAGCACGAAAUGUACAGACGUAGUUCAGAGAGAGGAUUCACUCGUAGGCUGUAAAAAAUGUAAUAAAGAAAACUUGCCGAAAAUAAUGCAAGUUAUUGAUGAACAAUUGGGCACGACAGCAACCUAAGGAGUUUUGCUCAUUUGUGUGUAUCAUAACCCGCCAGCUACGCAGGUGCACAUGAGCCUGAAGACGCUGGUUUCUGCGAAGACACAGACAGAGUGCUGUGCUGGAUCGCAUGAAGCACCAGUAGCAGCUGCAGUCAAUGUUGCUCCAGUGCCACUGCUCCCUGCAGAUUUCAGGCCUCUUCGUGGCUCAACACCUGUCCCAUUGGAUGAAUCAUCCUCUGCU
rnacentral:lncRNA from 1 species